UGGGGCGUGGUCCAAUUGGCAGGACGCUGCACUGUUAAUGCAGACGGUGGAGGUUCGAAUCCUCCCGCCCCAGCCA
rnacentral:tRNA from 1 species